rnacentral:rRNA from 1 species
CUGGGAAGGAUCAUUACCGAGUU